rnacentral:rRNA from 1 species
AUUGAACGCUGGCGGGAGGCCUAACACAUGCAAGCCGAGCGGAUGAAGGGAGCUUGGUCCUGGAUUGAGGGGCGGACGGGCGAGAAAUGCGUAGGAACUUGCUUGGUAGUGGGGGAUAACGUUCGGAAAGGGGCGCUAAUCCCGAGAAUGUACUGAGGGAGAACGUGGGGGAUUGUAGACUCUCACGGAUUGAGAUGAGCCUAGGCCGGAUUAGAUAGUUGGUGGGGUAAAGGCCUACCAAGGCAACGAUCCGUAAGUGGCCUGAGAGGAUGAUCAGUCACACCAGAACUGAAACACGGUCCAGACUCCUACGGGACGCAGCAGUGCAGUAUAUUGGACAGUGGGCGAAAGCCUGAUCCAACCAUGCCACCUGGCUUGAAAAGCUCUUCGCAUUUGAAAUCUCUUUUUGUUUGGAGGAAGGAUAGUAAUUUAAUACCUUACUUAUUUGACGUUACCAUCAGAAUAAGCACCGGCUAACUUCGUG